rnacentral:rRNA from 1 species
AUUGAACGCUGGCGGCAGGCCUAACACAUGCAAGUCGAGCGGAUGAGUGGAGCUUGCUCCAUGAUUCAGCGGCGGACGGGUGAGUAAUGCCUAUGAAUCUGCCUGGUAGUGGGGGACAACGUUUCGAAAGGAACGCUAAUACCGCAUACGUCCUACGGGAGAAAGUGGGGGAUCUUCGGACCUCACGCUAUCAGAUGAGCCUAGGUCGGAUUAGCUAGUUGGUGAGGUAAAGGCUCACCAAGGCGACGAUCCGUAACUGGUCUGAGAGGAUGAUCAGUCACACUGGAACUGAGACACGGUCCAGACUCCUACGGGAGGCAGCAGUGGGGAAUAUUGGACAAUGGGCGAAAGCCUGAUCCAGCCAUGCCGCGUGUGUGAAGAAGGUCUUCGGAUUGUAAAGCACUUUAAGUUGGGAGGAAGGGCAGUAAGUUAAUACCUUGCUGUUUUGACGUUACCAACAGAAUAAGCACCGGCUAACUUCGUG